GGAAUCUUCCGCAAUGGACGAAAGUCUGACGGAGCAACGCCGCGUGAGUGAUGAAGGUUUUCGGAUCGUAAAGCUCUGUUGUUAGGGAAGAACAAGUACCGUUCGAAUAGGGCGGUACCUUGACGGUACCUAACCAGAAAGCCACGGCUAACUACGUGCCAGCAGCCGCGGUAAUACGUAGGUGGCAAGCGUUGUCCGGAAUUAUUGGGCGUAAAGGGCUCGCAGGCGGUUUCGUAAGUCUGAUGUGAAAGCCCCCGGCUCAACCGGGGAGGGUCAUUGGAAACUGGGAAACUUGAGUGCAGAAGAGGAGAGUGGAAUUCCACGUGUAGCGGUGAAAUGCGUAGAGAUGUGGAGGAACACCAGUGGCGAAGGCGACUCUCUGGUCUGUAACUGACGCUGAGGAGCGAAAGCGUGGGUAGCGAACAGGA
rnacentral:misc_RNA from 1 species